rnacentral:rRNA from 1 species
GUGGGGAAUCUUAGACAAUGGGCGCAAGCCUGAUCUAGCCAUGCCGCGUGAGCGAUGAAGGCCUUAGGGUUGUAAAGCUCUUUCGCUGGGGAAGAUAAUGACUGUACCCAGUAAAGAAGCCCCGGCUAACUCCGUGCCAGCAGCCGCGGUAAUACGGAGGGGGCUAGCGUUGUUCGGAAUUACUGGGCGUAAAGCGCGCGUAGGCGGAUUGGAAAGUUGGGGGUGAAAUCCCGGGGCUCAACCUCGGAACUGCCUUCAAAACUCCCAGUCUUGAGUUCGAGAGAGGUGAGUGGAAUUCCGAGUGUAGAGGUGAAAUUCGUAGAUAUUCGGAGGAACACCAGUGGCGAAGGCGGCUCACUGGCUCGAUACUGACGCUGAGGUGCGAAAGCGUGGGGAGCAAACAGGAUUAGAUACCCCAGUAGUCC